rnacentral:rRNA from 1 species
AUUGAACGCUGGCGGCAUGCUUUACACAUGCAAGUCGAACGGCAGCGCGGGCUUCGGCCUGGCGGCGAGUGGCGAACGGGUGAGUAAUGCAUCGGAACGUGCCCAGUAGUGGGGGAUAGCCCGGCGAAAGCCGGAUUAAUACCGCAUACGACCUGAGGGUGAAAGCGGGGGACCGAAAGGCCUCGCGCUAUUGGAGCGGCCGAUGUCGGAUUAGCUAGUUGGUGGGGUAAAGGCUUACCAAGGCGACGAUCCGUAGCUGGUCUGAGAGGACGACCAGCCACACUGGGACUGAGACACGGCCCAGACUCCUACGGGAGGCAGCAGUGGGGAAUUUUGGACAAAGGGGGCAACCCUGAUCCAGCCAUGCCGCGUGCGGGAAGAAGGCCUUCGGGUUGUAAACCGCUUUUGUUCGGGAAGAAAUACUCUGGGCUAAUACCCCGGGGGGAUGACGGUACCGGAAGAAUAAGCACCGGCUAACUACGUG